CCCAUAAACGAGAGAAUGGAGAAAGCUAUGGAGCCUCCCUCGCUGUUAGGGAUGCUAGAGACAACCUCGUCACUGAACAGGGAUAUGGAGGCCCUCAGGAAUGAGCACAAGUCACUACUCACCCAUUAUCAAGAGGCUGUGGAUCACACUAUAGGUACAGGGAACAUUGUCGGUGGUUUGCUGCUGUCUGUGUAUCUGUUGUUGAGAGCAAGUGAUAGUCUGCAAAGUGUCUAUAUAUGUGGGAACCCUCUUCACCCGUGGACUUGCGACAAUGCUGCAAAAUUCAAGACUAAGCGAAGGCUGUUACGAUGUUUUGCUGCCCCAAGAGCCAUUGCAUUACAUUACCUGGUUCCCUUGCUGCUGGUGGCCUAUGCUGGUCUAGGAGUGGCCUUAGAACUCUGAGCUACUCUAUCUGACUAACGAUGAUGACGAGAGAUACAGUAUUCAAGCACAUCCCGAGUAAAAGACUGUGCCGGCGCCAAAAUGCGCGCAUGCGUCUUCUGUGCCCUGUUCCCUAUAAAAGUUGGAAAUUUAUCAGUGAAUCCUCAUUCUUCAACCUUCCUUCAAGAGGGCUGACUAGACUCUGAUGGUGGGCUCUCCAGCUGGUGACAUCUGACAAAGUUAAGUGCUUGGUGUUUAGUUUAUUGUAUUGUUCAUGUCUAUUUGUAAACUGGUUGCGUUUGCGCGUACAGGGUUUUCGGUAACGGUCGAUUUGUCGAGUUGUUUGUUUGUUUUUGUCUUCGUGCUGUUGGUUUGUUCUUGUUGUGUGGUUUUUUGCCACACUUGUUGUGUGGUUUUUUGCCACACUUAUUGUGUGGUUUUUUACCACACUUGUUGUGUGUUUUUUGCCACACUUGUUGUGUGGUUUUUUGCCACUGUUGUGUGGUUUUUUGCCACACUUGUUGUGUGGUUUUUUGCCACACCUGUGUGUUUUUUUGCCACACUGUUGUGUGGUUUCAUCUGUUGUAUUUCUCCUAGCCUAAAGUGUUUUGUAAUGGUUGAUCAUGUCAAUUCUUUUUUACAGAGUGUUCCUUUGUUCCUGCUUGUUCCUGCUUGUUCCUGCUUGCUGCUGUGUCUUGAGGAGUGGUUGUUGUUUUGUGUAACAUUUUGUACUUGUUAAUCCAUCUAAUUUAUGCAGAUUUCAGGUACUUCUGCGGGUGUGGCUGUACCGACUCUGGAAGUAAGUUGUCAGUUAAAAGCGCCACUCUAAUCUUAGCGCCCAAAACUCUAAACUAAAGCCUAUUUAAAGCUAACCUAAGUUUAUCUCCGCUCUAACGAAAAUGCUUUUUACUGUGGCAAUUUAUGCUGUAUAAUUAUGUACUAUUGUGCGUGCCUGUUACCGCCUGUGUGUGUGUGUGUCUGUUACCGCCUGUGUGUGUGUGUCUGUUACCGCCUGUGUGUGUGUGUGUCUGUUACCGCCUGUGUGUGUGUGUGUCUGUUACCGCCUGUGUGUGUGUGUGUGCAUGAGUAUUUGUGCUCUAUGUUUUUUUUUUGCAUGUGUUACUAAAUUGGUGGCCUUUUGUGUGUGUGUAACUUUCAAUUGUUGUUGUCGUGUGACAUGUGUGUGAGUGUGACCUCUCGUUGCGUGCGUGUGCGUGGUUUCAAAUUGGUGGCCUCUUGUGUGUGUGUGUGUAUCUUUCAAUUGUUGUCGUGUGACAUGUGUGUGAGUGUGACCUCUCGUUGCGUGCGUGUGCGUGGUUUCAAAUUGGUGGCCUCUUGUGUGUGUGUAACUUUCAAUUGUUGUUGUGUGACAUGUGUGUGAGUGUGACCUCUCGUUGCGUGCGUGUGCGUGGUUUCAAAUUGGUGGCCUCUUGUGUGUGUGUGUGUAACUUUCAAUUGUUGUUGUGUGACAUGUGUGUGAGUGUGACCUCUUCUUGCGUGCGUGUGCGUGGUUUCAAAUUGGUGGCCUCUUGUGUGUGUGUGUGUAUCUUUCAAUUGUUGUUGUGUGACAUGUGUGUGAGUGUGACCUCUUCUUGCGUGCGUGUGCGUGGUUUCAAAUUGGUGGCCUCUUGUGUGUGUGUGUGUAUCUUUCAAUUGUUGUUGUGUGACAUGUGUGUGAGUGUGACCUCUUCUUGCGUGCGUGUGCGUGGUUUCAAAUUGGUGGCCUCUUGUGUGUGUGUGUAUCUUUCAAUUGUUGUCGUGUGACAUGUGUGUGAGUGUGACCUCUCGUUGCGUGCGUGUGUGUGGUUUCAAAUUGGUGGCCUCUUGUGUGUGUGUGUGUAUCUUUCAAUUGUUGUUGUGUGACAUGUGUGUGAGUGUGACCUCUUCUUACGUGCGUGUGCGUGGUUUCAAAUUGGUGGCCUCUUGUGUGUGUGUGUGUAUCUUUCAAUUGUUGUUGUGUGACAUGUGUGUGAGUGUGACCUCUUCUUGCGUGCGUGUGCGUGGUUUCAAAUUGGUGGCCUCUUGUGUGUGUGUGUAUCUUUCAAUUGUUGUCGUGUGACAUGUGUGUGAGUGUGACCUCUCGUUGCGUGCGUGUGCGUGGUUUCAAAUUGGUGGCCUCUUCUGUGUGUGUGUGUGUAUCUUUCAAUUGUUGUCGUGUGACAUGUGUGUGAGUGUGACCUCUCGUUGCGUGCGUGUGCGUGGUUUCAAAUUGGUGGCCUCUUGUGUGUGUGUGUGUAUCUUUCAAUUGUUGUCGUGUGACAUGUGUGUGAGUGUGACCUCUCAUUGCGUGCGUGUGCGUGGUUUCAAAUUGGUGGCCUCUUGUGUGUAUGUGUUUGUCAUUAAUAAUUAUUAUUAAAAUUGUUACUGUAAAAAGUAUAAUAAAGACGCCACUCUAAUGUAGACCUAAACUCUAUACCAAAUUUUAAACACAAUUUAAAUAGUUUCGUACAUGGCUUUUUCACGUGAAACAAACUAAUCUAGCUAGCACUUUAAAUAAAUAUUAAGACAGCAUUAGAGGUAGGACAGCAUUAGUGGUAGAGGCAUUAGUGGUAGUGGUAUUAGUGGUAGUGGUAAUACACGCCUUUUCACGCCUUUUCACGUGACUAGUUAGCUAGCUAGCUAGCCGAGCUAGCUGCAAUAGUGGUAUGGGCAGGC